rnacentral:rRNA from 1 species
CGGCGAGUGAAGCGGCAACAGCUCAAAUUUGAAAUCUGGCCCCCAGGGCCCGAGUUGUAAUUUGCAGAGGAUGCUUUUGGCGCGGCGCCUUCCGAGUUCCCUGGAACGGGACGCCAUAGAGGGUGAGAGCCCCGUCUGGUCGGACGCCUAGCCUGUGUAAAGCUCCUUCGACGAGUCGAGUAGUUUGGGAAUGCUGCUCUAAAUGGGAGGUAUAUGUCUUCUAAAGCUAAAUACCGGCCAGAGACCGAUAGCGCACAAGUAGAGUGAUCGAAAGAUGAAAAGCACUUUGAAAAGAGGGUUAAACAGUACGUGAAAUUGUUGAAAGGGAAGCGCUUGUGACCAGACUUGGGCCCGGUGGAUCAUCCAGCGUUCUCGCUGGUGCACUCCGCCGGGUCCAGGCCAGCAUCAGUUCGCCGCGGGGGAGAAAGGCUUCGGGAACGUGGCUCCCACGGGAGUGUUAUAGCCCGUCGCACAAUACCCUGGGGCGGACUGAGGUUCGCGCUCCGCAAGGAUGCUGGCGUAAUGGUCAUCAGCGACCCGUCUUGAAACACGGACCAAGGAGUCGUCUUCGUAUGCGAGUGUUCGGGUGUAAAACCCCUACGCGUAAUGAAAGUGAACGCAGGUGAGAGCUUCGGCGCAUCAUCGACCGAUCCUGAUGUUCUCGGAUGGAUUUGAGUAAGAGCAUACGGGGCCGGACCCGAAAGAAGGUGAACUAUGCCUGUAUAGGGUGAAGCCAGAGGAAACUCUGGUGGAGGCUCGCAGCGGUUCUGACGUGCAAAUCGAUCGUCAAAUAUGGGCAUGGGGGCGAAAGACUAAUCGAACCUUCUAGUAGCUGGUUUCCGCCGAAGUUUCCCUCAGGAUAGCAGUGUUGAACUCAGUUUUAUGAGGUAAAGCGAAUGAUUAGGGACCCGGGGGCGCUUUUCAGCCUUCAUCCAUUCUCAAACUUUAAAUAUGUAAGAAGCCCUUGUUGCUUAAUUGAACGUGGGCAUUCGAAUGUAUCAACACUAGUGGGCCAUUUUUGGUAAGCAGAACUGGCGAUGCGGGAUGAACCGAACGCGAGGUUAAGGUGCCAGAGUAGACGCUCAUCAGACACCACAAAAGGCGUUAGUACAUCUUGACAGCAGGACGGUGGCCAUGGAAGUCGGAAUCCGCUAAGGACUGUGUAACAACUCACCUGCCGAAUGUACUAGCCCUGAAAAUGGAUGGCGCUCAAGCGUCUCACCCAUACCUCGCCCUCAGGGUAGAAACGAUGCCCUGAGGAGUAGGCGGACGUGGGGGUCGUGACGAAG